rfam:Felis catus isolate Cinnamon breed Abyssinian chromosome C1, whole genome shotgun sequence.
AGCUUUGUGCAGUGGCAGUGUCGUAGCCAAUAGAGUUUAUCUGAGGCGCAGUUAUUGUUAAUUGAAAGUAUGCUUACUAUCAGCCCAACAUAUUGAAAUAUAAUUCUAUGAAAGAUUACAUUUAAA